CUUAUUGCUAUUUUGAGCACAGCUGACAACAGGAAAGAAGCAAAACCUGGGAUCUGCAACAAACGAAAGAAAUUUAAAGUGCAAGAACAUUUUUAUUUUUCCUUUUUCUUAAUUUUUUACAUUUGUUUAUUUUAAUGCAUUAUCUAUAUAUUACAGUAAAAAAUAGGGAUAGACUCCAUAAGAGUGAGACAUGCUUAGGUAAAUAUCUGGUUUGCGUUUUGUUUUAUUUAUUUAUUUAUUUAUCUCAUUUUAUUGUGCUUUUCUUUCUUUUUAAUACAUUAUAUGACAUGUAAAUUAAUGGUAAAAUCUAUACUGUAGUGC